rnacentral:rRNA from 1 species
UGAGGAAUAUUGGUCAAUGGGCGUAAGCCUGAACCAGCCAAGUCGCGUGAAGGAUGACUGCCCUAUGGGUUGUAAACUUCUUUUGUAAGGGGAGAAUAAAUUCUACGUGUAGGAUGAUGACAGUACCUUACGAAUAAGCAUCGGCUAACUCCGUGCCAGCAGCCGCGGUAAUACGGAGGGUGCGAGCGUUAAUCGGAAUCACUGGGCGUAAAGCGCACGUAGGCGGCGUGGUAAGUCGGGGGUGAAAUCCCACAGCUCAACUGUGGAACUGCCUUCGAUACUGCCAUGCUUGAGUGUCGGAGAGGGUGGCGGAAUUCCGGGUGUAGGAGUGAAAUCCGUAGAUAUCCGGAGGAACACCGGUGGCGAAGGCGGCCACCUGGACGAAAACUGACGCUGAGGUGCGAAAGCGUGGGUAGCAAACA